GUCUUUGUAGUAUAGCAAUUACCUCGGUCUUGUAAGCCA
rnacentral:tRNA from 1 species